rnacentral:rRNA from 1 species
AGUGAACGCUGGCGGUAGGCCUAACACAUGCAAGUCGAACGGCAGCACAGUAAGAGCUUGCUCUUACGGGUGGCGAGUGGCGGACGGGUGAGGAAUACAUCGGAAUCUACUUUUUCGUGGGGGAUAACGUAGGGAAACUUACGCUAAUACCGCGUACGACCUACGGGUGAAAGCAGGGGAUCUUCGGACCUUGCGCGAUUGAAUGAGCCGAUGUCGGAUUAGCUAGUUGGCGGGGUAAAGGCCCACCAAGGCGACGAUCCGUAGCUGGUCUGAGAGGAUGAUCAGCCACACUGGAACUGAGACACGGUCCAGACUCCUACGGGAGGCAGCAGUGGGGAAUAUUGGACAAUGGGCGCAAGCCUGAUCCAGCCAUACCGCGUGGGUGAAGAAGGCCUUCGGGUUGUAAAGCCCUUUUGUUGGGAAAGAAAAGCAGCAGGUUAAUACCCCGCUGUUAUGACGGUACCCAAAGAAUAAGCACCGGCUAACUUCGUG